rnacentral:rRNA from 1 species
CUUAAUUUAAAAUAUUUAUUAAGUUGUAAGUACGAAACUUAAUAAUUUGGCGGUAUUUAAUUUUCUAGAGGAAUAUGUAAUGUAAUCGAUAAUUCCCGUUGAAUCUUACUUAUAUUUUUUUUGUAUAUCUCCGUUGUCAGAUAUUAUUUUAAAUAAGAAAAAUUUUCUUAAAAAAUAAAUUUAAUACUUCAGGUCAAGGUGCAUUAUAUAUAAGUUAUUAUGUAUUACAAUCGUUAUAGCGGAAUAAUUAUAUAUGGAAAAAUUUUGAAAUUGAAUUUAUAAGUAAAAUUAGAUAUUUAUCUAACUUGAAAAUUAAUUGAAUAUGU